UUAGUGGCGGACGGGUGAGUAACGCGUGGGCAACCUGCCUUACACAGGGGGAUAACACUUAGAAAUAGGUGCUAAAACCGCAUAAGCGCACAGCUUCGCAUGAAGCGGUGUGAAAAACUCCGGUGGUGUAAGAUGGACCCGCGUCUGAUUAGCUUGUUGGCGGGGUAACGGCCCACCAAGGCGACGAUCAGUAGCCGGCCUGAGAGGGCGGACCGGCCACAUUGGGACUGAGACACGGCCCAGACUCCUACGGGAGGCAGCAG
rnacentral:rRNA from 1 species